rnacentral:rRNA from 1 species
GAUGAACGCUGGCGGCGUGCCUAAUACAUGCAAGUCGAGCGAACAGACCAGGAGCUUGCUCCUCUGACGUUAGCGGCGGACGGGUGAGUAACACGUGUAUAACCUACCUAUAAGACUGGGAUAACUACGGGAAACCGGAUCUAAUCCCGGAUAAUCUCUUGCAGCGCAUGGUUGAUUGGUGAAAUUCGGUUUUGCUGUCUCUUAUAGAUGGAUCCGGGCCUCAUUAGCUAGUUGUUAAGGUAACGGCUUACCAAGGGAACGAUGCGUAGCCGACGUGACAGGGGGAUCGGCCACAGUGGAACUGAGACGCGGUCCAGACCCCGACGGGAGGCAGAAGGAGGGAAUCGUGCGCAAUGGGCGAAAGCCUGACGGAGCAACGCCGCGUGAGUGAUGAAGGUCUGCGGAUCGUAAAACUCUGUUAUUGGGGAAGAACAAAUGUGUAAGUAACGAUGCACGUCUUGACGGUACCUAAACAGAAAGCCCCGGCUAACUACGG